rnacentral:tRNA from 1 species
GCAGCUGUGGCCUACUGGUUAGCUUCGGACUUGUAAUCGGAGGGUUGCCGGUUCGAACCCCGACCAGUAGGA